rnacentral:tRNA from 1 species
GGUUGUUUAGUGUAUUAUGAUUAAUGAGUAAAUGCACUCCCCCUUGAUUUACACCCAAGGGGUCAGGGGUUCGAAUCCCUUAGCGCCCACCA